rnacentral:tRNA from 1 species
CGGAAUAUAGCGCAGCUUGGUAGCGCGCAUCGUUAGGGACGAUGAGGUCACGGGUUCGAAUCCCGUUAUUCCGACCA